UGGGGAAUUUUGGACAAUGGGGGCAACCCUGAUCCAGCAAUGCCGCGUGAGUGAAGAAGGCCUUCGGGUUGUAAAGCCCUUUUGUCAGGGAAGAAACGGUAGUAGCGAAUAACUAUUACUAAUGACGGUACCUGAAGAAUAAGCACCGGCUAACUACGUGCCAGCAGCCGCGGUAAUACGUAGGGUGCAAGCGUUAAUCGGAAUUACUGGGCGUAAAGCGUGCGCAGGCGGUUGUGUAAGUCAGAUGUGAAAUCCCCGGGCUCAACCUGGGAAUUGCAUUUGAGACUGCACGGCUAGAGUGUGUCAGAGGGGGGUAGAAUUCCACGUGUAGCAGUGAAAUGCGUAGAUAUGUGGAGGAAUACCGAUGGCGAAGGCAGCCCCCUGGGAUAACACUGACGCUCAUGCACGAAAGCGUGGGGAGCAAACAGGAUUAGAUACCCUUGUAGUCCCUGAGCGGGCUGGCAAGGCGCAU
rnacentral:rRNA from 1 species